rnacentral:tRNA from 1 species
UGCGCUGUAGUUCAAUGGAUUAGAAUGUCCGGUUUCUACCCGGAGGAUGAGGGUUCGACUCCUUCCAGCGCAA